GGCAAGGGCGGGUCUAUAAUGCAGUCGAGCGGACCGACGGGAGCUUGCUCCCUUAUGUUAGCGGCGGACGGGUGAGUAACACGUGGGUAACCUGCCUGUAAGACUGGGAUAACUCCGGGAAACCGGGGCUAAUACCGGAUGCUUGAUUGAACCGCAUGGUUCAAUUAUAAAAGGUGGCUUCUGCUACCACUUACAGAUGGACCCGCGGCGCAUUAACUAGUUGGGGAGGGAACGGCUCACCAAGGGGACCAUGCGUAACCGAACUGAAAGGGUGAUCGGCCACCCUGGGACUGAAACACGGCCCAACUCCUACGGGAGGGAGCAGUAAGGAAUCUUCCGCAAUGGACGAAAGUCUGACGGAACAACCCCCCGUGGGUGAUGAAGGUUUUCGGAUCCUAAAACUCUGUUGUUAGGGAAAAACAAGUACCGUUCGAAUAAGGCGGUACCUUGACGGUACCUAACCAGAAAGCCACGGCUAACUACCUGCCAACAGCCGCGGUAAUACCUAAGUGGCAAGCGUUGUCCGGAAUUAUUGGGCGUAAAGCGCGCGCAGGCGGUUUCUUAAGUCUGAUGUGAAAGCCCCCGGCUCAACCGGGGAGGGUCAUUGGAAACUGGGGAACGAAUGCAGAAGAAGAAAGUGGAAUUCCACGUGUAACGGUGAAAUGCGUAAAAUGUGGAAGAACACCAGUGGCGAAAGCGACUCUCUGGUCUGUAACUGACGCUGAAGCGCGAAAGCGUGGGGAGCGAACAGGAUUAGAUACCCUGGUAGUCCACGCCGUAAACGAUGAGUGCUAAGUGUUAGAGGGUUUCCGCCCUUUAGUGCUGCAGCAAACGCAUUAAGCACUCCGCUGGGGAAUACGGUCGGCAGACUGAAACUCAGAAUUGACGGGGCCCGCACAGCGGUGGAGCAUGUGGUUUAAUUCGAAGCACGCGAAGAACUUACAGGUCUUGACAUCUCUGACAACCUAGAGAUAGGCUUCCCUUCGGGCAGAUGACAGUGUGCAUGUGUCGUCAGCUCUGUUCGUGAGAAUGUGGGUAGUCCGCACGAGCGCACCUGAUUCUUAGUGCAGC
rnacentral:rRNA from 1 species